AGGACGAACGCUGGCGGCGUGCCUAACACAUGCAAGUCGAGCGAGGAGAUUCCUUCGGGAUGAUCCUAGCGGCGGACGGGUGAGUAACACGUGGGCAACCUGCCUCAUAGAGAGGAAUAGCCUUCCGAAAGGGAGAUUAAUACCUCAUAACAUUGCAGUUUCGCAUGGAACAGCAAUUAAAGGAGCAAUCCACUAUGAGAUGGGCCCGCGGCGCAUUAGCUAGUUGGUGAGGUAACGGCUCACCAAGGCGACGAUGCGUAGCCGACCUGAGAGGGUGAUCGGCCACAUUGGGACUGAGACACGGCCCAGACUCCUACGGGAGGCAGCAGUGGGGAAUAUUGCACAAUGGGGGAAACCCUGAUGCCAGCAACGCCGCGUGAGUGAUGACGGCCUUCGGGUUGUAAAGCUCUGUCUUCAGGGACGAUAAUGACGGUACCUGAGGAGGAAGCCACGGCUAACUACGUGCCAGCCGCGGC
rnacentral:rRNA from 1 species